GCACCGGAGGCAUCGCCAGGCACGUGGUU
rnacentral:sRNA from 1 species